rnacentral:rRNA from 1 species
UGGGGAAUUUUGGACAAUGGGCGCAAGCCUGAUCCAGCCAUGCCGCGUGAGUGAAGAAGGCCUUCGGGUUGUAAAGCUCUUUCAGUAGGAACGAAACGAUAGGCUCUAACAUAGCCUGUUACUGACGGUACCUACAGAAGAAGCACCGGCUAACUACGUG